GUAGUCCACGCCGUAAACGAUGUCGACUAGCCGUUGGGAAACUUGCUUUCUCAGUGGCGUAGCUAACGCGCUAAGUCGACCGCCUGGGGAGUACGGCCGCAAGGUUAAAACUCAAAUGAAUUGACGGGGACCCGCACAAGCGGUGGAGUAUGUGGUUUAAUUCGACGCAACGCGAAGAACCUUACCUGCUCUUGACAUGUCGAGAACUUUCCAGAGAUGGAAGGGUGCCUUCGGGAACUCGAACACAGGUGCUGCAUGGCUGUCGUCAGCUCGUGUCGUGAGAUGUUGGGUUAAGUCCCGCAACGAGCGCAACCCUUGUCCUUAGUUGCCAGCAUUAAGUUGGGGACUCUAGGGAGACUGCCGGUGACAAACCGGA
rnacentral:rRNA from 1 species